GAUGAAGAACGUAGCGAAAUGCGAUAAGUAAUGUGAAUUGCAGAAUUCAGUGAAUCAUCGAAUCUUUGAACGCACAUUGCGCCCGCCAGUAUUCUGGCGGGCAUGCCUGUUCGAGCGUCAUUACAACCCUCAGGCCCCCGGGCCUGGCGUUGGGGAUCGGCGGAAGCCCCCUGCGGGCACAACGCCGUCCCCCAAAUACAGUGGCGGUCCCGCCGCAGCUUCCAUUGCGUAGUAGCUAACACCUCGCAACUGGAGAGCGGCGCGGCCACGCCGUAAAACACCCAACUUCUGAAUGUUGACCUCGAAUCAGGUAGGAAUACCCGCUGAACUUAAGCAUAUCAAUAAGGAGGA
rnacentral:misc_RNA from 1 species